ensembl:lncRNA
GAGUUGUAUUAAAUAAGAUUAGUCUGUUUGGCACAACGAACGUUACCUCUGUUCAGGUGUCAACAGUUAAAAGAAGAGAUUAGGUUGGACAACCUGGUCCUUAACCUUCUGGGGUUCAUAAAGCCUUUGGGACUCUGACAUAAGUGGUAGGUUCCUAGCUUCAGAAGAUACAUAUGCACCCGAAACAAAACCCAUGUCAUUUCUCUUACAGCGUAGGGACUUCAUCUUUGCAGAGGAAAAGAAAUUGAACUUGCCUCUCUCCAGGGUCCUUUAGGCUUAAUGGGCUUCAAGCAAUUGAGGAAAGGCCUCUCCCAAAGCCUCUAUAAGUCGAUGAAGGAUGCUGUGAAAAUGAUUGAUUUAGGCACCCAUUUGAGGCUUUUUUUUUGUCCCCCCUCCAAAAGCAGUUCAGCAGAUGGGCAGCAUGAAACUGUAACUCAGUCGUUUUCCUUCCUGGGAGAAGGGGAAUGGGGCCUAUGUACAAGGAGGAAGCCAGGGGUACGGUCAAAACAUGCAGGACUGGGGACUCGCCUAACACACCCGGGAGAGCAAGCCUCGAGGGGAGCAAGAUGGCAUCUCAGCAGGCCAUCUUCCCAGAGCACCCGUGCAGGCCAUAUUGAGAGUCGCCCUAUCUCAGAUCUAUCUCUCCAUCAGCCAGGCUGUACAAUGAAGGUGACCUACAGCAGGGCUGUGGUCAACCUGUCGGGCCUCAGGCAAGAAAAAUUUCUCGGUAUUAUAAACCUUGGGAUUUGGAGACGUAUUUAUCCUUACAGCAGCGACAAACCCAAUUUACCAAUAAAUCUUCAUCCCUGGGAAGAAGAGAAAUGUGAAUGACCAGAGCAACCCUCACUAACUUGUGGAGUAACAGAUUCUAGGAUGCAGCCUAGACCAGAGUUCUUAGAAGAGAAAAACUGAUGUUAGAAGCAAGGAUGGUCUAAUCCAUCAUGAGACCGAGAGACUCCACAGCCAGCAGAGCACAAAGACUCAAAAGAAGCUUCUCUAUGACAGCCUUGGGAGAGAGUUUGUGACUGUGCGGAUAAUUAGCUUCAGACUUCUGGAUUAUGGACUGUUUCAGAAUAAAGUUCUGUUGGGCUGAGCUGCCCAGAUCAUAAUAA